GGAGGGGUGGCCGAGUGGUUUAAGGCGCACGCUUGGAAAGCGUGUGUGCGUUAACGCGUACCGCGGGUUCGAAUCCCGCCCCCUCCGCCA
rnacentral:tRNA from 2 species